UACGUAUGGGGCAAGCGUUAUCCGGAUUCAUUGGGCGUAAAGAGCGCGUAGGCGGCUUGUUUAGCGAGAUGUGAAAACCGGGGGCUCAACCCGCGGCCUGCAUCUCGAACUGGCAGGCUUGAGUCUGGUAGAGGAAAGUGGAAUUCCUGGUGUAGCGGUGAAAUGCGCAGAUAUCAGGAGGAACACCAGUGGCGAAGGCGGCUUUCUGGGCCACGACUGACGCUGAGGCGCGAAAGCUAGGGGAGCGAACAGG
rnacentral:rRNA from 1 species